AUUGAACGCUGGCGGCAUGCCUUACACAUGCAAGUCGAACGGCAGCACGGGAGCAAUCCUGGUGGCGAGUGGCGAACGGGUGAGUAAAGUAUCGGAACGUGCCCAGUCGUGGGGGAUAACGUAGCGAAAGUUACGCUAAUACCGCAUACGAUCUAUGGAUGAAAGCGGGGGAUCGCAAGACCUCGCGCGAUUGGAGCGGCCGAUAUCAGAUUAGGUAGUUGGUGGGGUAAAGGCUCACCAAGCCGACGAUCUGUAGCUGGUCUGAGAGGACGACCAGCCACACUGGGACUGAGACACGGCCCAGACUCCUACGGGAGGCAGCAGUGGGGAAUUUUGGACAAUGGGCGAAAGCCUGAUCCAGCCAUGCCGCGUGCAGGAUGAAGGCCUUCGGGUUGUAAACUGCUUUUGUACGGAACGAAAAGGUUUGGCCUAAUAAGCUGAGCUCAUGACGGUAUCAGCAUAAGAAGCACCGGCUAACUACGUGCCAGCCGCCGCCGUAA
rnacentral:rRNA from 1 species